rnacentral:rRNA from 1 species
UACGGAGGUUGCAAGCGUUAUCCGGAAUGAUUGGGCGUAAAGCGUCCGCAGGUGGCUAUGUAAGUCUGCUGUCAAAGCGUCUGGCUCAACCAGAUAAAGGCAGUGGAAACUACAUAGCUAGAGUAAGGUAGGGGUAGAGGGAAUUCCUGGUGUAGCGGUGAAAUGCGUAGAGAUCAGGAAGAACACCGGUGGCGAAAGCGCUCUGCUGGACCUUAACUGACACUGAGGGACGAAAGCUAAGGGAGCGAAUGGG